AGCACGGUGGAGUGGUUUUAGUGCUGGACUAUGACUCGAGACCAGGGUUCGAAUCCCCGCUGGGCCA